rnacentral:rRNA from 1 species
AGAGUUUGAUCAUGGCUCAGGAUGAACGCUGGCGGCAUGACCUAAAACAUGCAAGUCGAGCGGUAAGGCCCCUUCGGGGGUACACGAGCGGCGGACGGGUGAGUAACGCGUGGGAAUCUACCCCAAACUGAGGGAUAAGCAUUGGAAACGAUGUCUAAUACCGCAUAUGGUCUUCGGAUUAAAGCUUCGGCGGUUUGGGAAGAGCCCGCGUAAGAUUAGCUAGUUGGUGAGGUAAAGGCUCACCAAGGCGACGAUCUUUAACUGGUUUGAGAGGAUGAUCAGUCACACUGGAACUGAGACACGGUCCAGACUCCUACGGGAGGCAGCAGUUAGGAAUUUCCACAAUGGGCGAAAGCCUGAUGGAGCAAUGCCGCGUGCAGGAUGAAGGCCUUAGGGUUGUAAACUGCUUUUAUACGUGAAGAAUAUGACUGUAACGUAUGAAUAAGGAUCGGCUAACUCCGUG